GACGAACCGAGCGAACGUUAUUCGGAAUCACUGGGCUUAAAGGGCGCGUAGGCGGGCGAUCAAGUCAAGGGUGAAAGCCUCCAGCUCAACUGGAGAAGUGCCUCUGAUACUGGUCGCCUCGAGGGAGAUAGGGGCGUGCGGAACUUCCGGUGGAGCGGUGAAAUGCGUAGAUAUCGGAAGGAACACCGGUGGCGAAAGCGGCGCGCUGGAUCUCUACUGACGCUGAGGCGCGAAAGCCAGGGGAGCAAACGGG
rnacentral:rRNA from 1 species